rnacentral:rRNA from 1 species
GACAGAGGCCUCGAGCGUUAGGCGGAAUCACUGGGCUUAAAGCGUGUGUAGGCGGGCCCGUAAGUGUCUUGUGAAAUCCCACGGCUCAACCGUGGAACUGCUGGGCAUACUGCGGGCCUUGGGCCAACUAGGGGCAGCCGGAACAAGCGGUGGAGCGGUGAAAUGCGCAGACAUCGUUUGGAACGCCAAUGGUGAAAACAGGUUGCUGGGAGUGUGCUGACGCUGAGACACGAAAGCCAGGGGAGCGAACGGG